AUUGAACGCUGGCGGCAGGCCUAACACAUGCAAGUCGAGCGGGGUUUUCGGACCUAGCGGCGGACAGGUGAGUAAUGCGUAGGAAGCUACCCGAUAGAGGGGGAUACCAGUUGGAAACGACUGUUAAUACCGCAUAAUGUCUACGGACCAAAGUAUGGGACCUUCGGGCCACAUGCUAUCGGAUGCGCCUACGUGGGAUUAGCUAGUUGGUGGGGUAAUGGCUCACCAAGGCGACGAUCCCUAGCUGGUUUGAGAGGAUGAUCAGCCACACUGGAACUGAGCCACGGUCCAGACUCCUACGGGAGGCGGCAGUGGGGAAUAUUGGACAAUGGGCGCAAGCCUGAUCCAGCCAUGCCGCGUGUGUGAAGAAGGCCUUCGGGUUGUAAAGCACUUUCAGUAGGGAGGAAGGGCAGUAAGCUAAUACCUUGCUGUUUUGACGUUACCGACAGAAUAAGCACCGGCUAACUCUGUACCAGCCGCCGCCGUAACAC
rnacentral:rRNA from 1 species